GACAGAGGGUGCAAACGUGCUCGGAAUUACUGGGCGUAAAGGGCGUGUAGGCGGGAAGGCAAGUCGGGCGUGAAAGCCCCAGGCUCAACCUGGGAACUGCACUCGAAACUGCCUUUCUUGAGUGCCGGAGAGGAAAGCCGGAAUUCCUGGUGUAGAGGUGAAAUUCGUAGAUAUCAGGAGGAACACCAGUGGCGAAGGCGGCUUUCUGGACGGUAACUGACGCUGAGACGCGAAAGCGUGGGGAGCAAACAGG
rnacentral:rRNA from 1 species